rnacentral:rRNA from 1 species
AUUGAACGCUGGCGGCAGGCCUAACACAUGCAAGUCGAGCGGAUGAAGGGAGCUUGCUCCUGGAUUCAGCGGCGGACGGGUGAGUAAUGCCUAGGAAUCUGCCUGGUAGUGGGGGAUAACGUCCGGAAACGGGCGCUAAUACCGCAUACGUCCUGAGGUAGAACCUGGGGGAUCUUCGGACCUCACGCUAUCAGAUGAGCCUAGGUCGGAUUAGCUAGUUGGUGGGGUAAAGGCCUACCAAGGCGACGAUCCGUAACUGGUCUGAGAGGCUGAUCAGUCACACUGGAACUGAGACACGGUCCAGACUCCUACGGGAGGCAGCAGUGGGGAAUAUUGGGCAAUGGGCGAAAGCCUGAUGGAGCCAUGCCGCGUGUGUGAAGAAGGUCUUCGGAUUGUAAAGCACUGUAAGUUGGGAGGAAGGGCAGUAAGUGAAGACCUGGCUGUUUUGACGGUACCAACAGAAUAAGCAACGGCUAACUUCGUG